CCAAUAGCGUAUAUUAAAGUUGUUGCAGUUAAAAAGCUCGUAGUUGAAUUUCGAGACCGGUUUACUGGUCGUGCUUUUGUACGUACUGGUAUAAUCGGUUUCUCUUUUCUGACGAACUAUAAUGCCAUUAAUUUGGUGUUAUGGGAAAUCAGGACUGUUACUUUGAAAAAAUUAGAGUGUUUAAAGCAGGCUCACGCUUGAAUACAUUAGCAUGGAAUAACGGAAUAGGACGUUUGAUUCUAUUUUGUUGGUUUCUAGGAUCGACGUAAUGAUUAAUAGGGAUAGUUGGGGGCAUUAGUAUUCAAUUGUCAGAGGUGAAAUUCUUGGAUUUAUUGAAGACUAACUACUGCGAAAGCAUUUGCCAAGGAUGUUUUCAUUAAUCAAGAACGAAAGUUAGGGGAUCGAAGACGAUCAGAUACCGUCGUAGUCUUAACCAUAAACUAUGCCGACUAGGGAUCGGAUGAUGUUAAUUUUUUAAUGACUCAUUCGGCGCCUUACG
rnacentral:rRNA from 1 species